GCGGCGGCGGCGGCGGCGGCCCGGAGCCCCCGAGCCCCCGGCAGGUGCGCCUGCCCUUCCCCGCGAUCUGAUUGGAUACAGUGGGGGCUCGACGGUGGCCGCCGUGGGACAGUGCGGCGGCGGCAGGGGUCUCGGAAACCAUGGGUUAUUGCAGCGGCAGGUGCACGCUCAUCUUCAUCUGUGGCAUGCAACUGCUCGGGUCUCUCGUGCCUGCGCGGUCUGCAUUCCUGCUCCUGUAACCGCGUGCUUGCCGCAGACGGUCUACUGCACAGGUGUUGGAAGAGACACGGAAUUUUUGACUUUCCUCCCGCCGGCUAACCCCCUGGCGGUACCUUUUCCUCCGUUGCCAUGUGUGAUGUUUCAAGGAAGAUAAUUCCCUUAUCCAUCUAACGCCCUCGCCAGACCACUGCGCAGGGCAGGUGGUGUCUCCACAGCAGCCCGACCCAGCGGCCACGCUGAGUUGUAAAAGUGUGUAGAUUGAAGGGAAAUAACUCGGACGGACUCGGUAACGCCACUGCCGUGAACCGAACCGGUGGCCUUAAAAUCACAAAUACACUGAACUAAAGGAAAGCGUUGUAUCUUCCUCCACGAUGUAUGUAACUGCUCCUGAGAUAGAUAACGUUGUCUCUGAUCCUAUAGGAUGGAGAACCCUAUGCACUUUUUGAGGAAUGCUGUGUGUUUGCAAAGAGGCAAGGAGCCAGUAAUGGAACACGUCAGGUCUCUGAAUUUAAAUGCUCUAAGGGCAAUAGGAGAGGCUGGGGGGUAGUUCAGAGGGGAGACAUGUACCGCUCCAAGUGGUUAAUUUGAGGUUAGGGAGUGCUUGCUCCCUCCUGCUGGCAAAUAGCGUUCCUUGGAGAGUAUGAAUUAAUCUGCAAAGCCACCCCCGUUUCCAACAAUUGUUUCAUAAAGCCUGAAAGGACCCCCAGACCGAAGGGGAUUGCCGAGACCCCCACCAGGAAAGUGUUCAGAAGAGCAAGGAUUUGCUGUUGAAACUGAUAGAAGAAUUCCUUAGGUGGUCCUCAUUGUUCAUCAGUUGUCUUGAUCCCCAAGAGUGUUUGUUGUUGUUGUUGUUUUGCUUACUAUUUGGCUGAAGCCCGUGCUUUUUGGUUGCAUAUUGUCUUGGGGUGUUUUUCUUCCCCAGGAAAGUUAUCUCAAGAAGCCUAGGUGGAUCUGUGAAUUACUUAGGCUUUCCCACCUUGCCACUUGGUUGUAAGAAAAAGAAGGUGGAACUGUAAAUACAGUUUUAAGAAUGUAAUAUUUUUGCAGUGAUGUGUAAAGCAGUUUCUUUUUUGCUACAUGCUUAAGUUGUGCAGUAAAGGACUUUGCUAACGAGAAAGCUAACCCGAACAAUGGGAGAGUUUACUUUGUUAAACCAGUGGUUAGGCCAAGUAAGCCCAANACUGCUAACGAGAAAGCUAACCGGAACAAUGGGAGAGUUUACUUUGUUAAACCAGUGGUUAGGCCAAGUAAGCCCAAUUGUAUAAGUGUUUUUUUUUUUUUUAAACAUUCCUAUGUUCAUAUAUGAUUCAGAAAAGAACACAUUUGCUGAUUCACUGUGUAAAAGCAUAAAACUGUGAGAAUGAGUGGGUGGGUAACUAUUCUCAUGCUAUUUUCAGUUUGAAAAUUUUAAAAUGUGAUUUAACUUUAAGUUAUUUAGCGCAGUAGGGCUUUAUGGUGGCGGUUGUGUAGGCAUUAGAUCUAUGUGGCAUUUUGUGUGAUGAACGCAAACUUCUCAAGAACUUAGAAAUUUUGGAGAAACCUAAGUAUACAAAUAAGCUAAAUAUACAAAGUGGCACGAUAAGGCUCAAGAUUUCUCUGUGUGUGUUUUGUUCAUGUGUGUGCACAUAUGCGAUGGUGUGUAUGGGAGAAGUGCUCCAUCCCUUAUGGAACAGAAAUUCUGAAUCAAAGCGAAGUUCUCUAACAAAACAGAGGCAGUUGUGAUACAGGAAUGUUCAGCCUAAGCAAGUCUCCAUAUGAAUCUUAAGGACGUUCUAUAACAAUCAUGUGAUUUUUUUUCCCACUCCGACUUUAUGUGCCACCAGGCUAAUAUAAUUAGCAGCCAUGCUAAUGCAGAUGCAGAACAAAAAACAAAGGACGAGGAACAUUCAUUGCUUUGAUAAGGCUAAAUGAUCACAUUUAAAGGACCUCAGAGAUCUGAAAUUGUUACAUCUUAGAAGUAGAGUAUUUAAUUUUAAUAAAAUAAUUCCUUUGCAAACUAAUAAUUGCA
ensembl:lncRNA